rnacentral:rRNA from 1 species
CAGCCGCCGCGGUAAUACGGAGGGGGCUAGCGUUGUUCGGAAUUACUGGGCGUAAAGCGCACGUAGGCGGCUUGGUAAGUUAGAGGUGAAAGCCCGGAGCUCAACUCCGGAAUUGCCUUUAAGACUGCCGAGCUAGCAGGUGAGAGAGGUAAGUGGAAUUCCGAGUGUAGAGGUGAAAUUCGUAGAUAUUCGGAAGAACACCAGUGGCGAAGGCGGCUUACUGGCUCAUACUGGACGCUGAGGUGCGAAAGCGUGGGGAGCAAACAGGAUUAGAUACCCGAGUAGUCCCUGUCUCUUAUAC